GGUGGCUCAGUGGUAGAGUGCUUGCCUUGCAUCCAUGAGCCCUGGGUUCAAUUCCUUGGCACCA
rnacentral:tRNA from 1 species